UAGAUCUCAAAUCAGGUAGGACUACCC
rnacentral:rRNA from 4 species